rnacentral:rRNA from 1 species
CGACCGGCGCACGGGUGAGUAACACGUAUCCAACCUGCCUCAUACUCGGGGAUAGCCUUUCGAAAGAAAGAUUAAUAUCCGAUAGCAUAUAUUUCCCGCAUGGGUUUUAUAUUAAAGAAAUUCGGUAUGAGAUGGGGAUGCGUUCCAUUAGUUUGUUGGGGGGGUAACGGCCCACCAAGACUACGAUCAGUAGCCGACCUGAGAGGGUGACCGGCCACAUUGGGACUGAGACACGGCCCAG